rnacentral:lncRNA from 9 species
AUGGCCUAUCUGUGUGGGCCAGGUGUAAUCAUGAGGAUCCUUAAAAGAGACAGAGGCAGAAGAAGAGAGAAGAUUAAUAUGAUGCAAGCUCUUUCAUGGCAUGAAAAUGAAGGUCCAGAAAUUGCACAUGAAACCUGCAAAUGAAUGUAUCUUCGAAACCGAGGAAGGAAAGGAGAUGAGUGAUCUGGGAGAUGUCGCAUAGAGGGAAUUGACAAAAACUGGAGAGAAUAAAGUUUGAAAAGGAAGAGCUGUCAAGGAGGACAACCAGGUUUCCCAUCUGAGAGACCAGGUAAUGACUGAAACUCAUGAACUGAGUAAAUGAUAUUCUACUGGAGAGGGAGAGGGUAGAGAGAUGAAUUCAAUUUUACUCAUAACAAAUGGCCAAGAUUUCACUGCUGUAAUACCAACACUAUCUCACCUGAAAUGAUUUCACUAUUUGGCUCCUAAAGAUAGCAGUGCAAAAAGGUUCCAAAUUUAUUUGUGUAUUUGAACAAUUAAGCUGUUUUUUAAAAAAAAAAUACACAAAGAAUCAUAUUAUGUAAAGGUAAAAGAACCAAAAAACAACAUCACCUGAACGAUUUAUCUAUAAUGUAUGGAUCUUACCCUAACAUAAGCCCCAAUGGAACAUUUCGGCUCAAUAAAAUCAGGACACUCCAGACAUAGUCUAAUAAUCCUUAGCUACUAUCAGACUGUUAUUAGCCUCAGGCUGAGCCCAUAAAUGCACAACAAAGUCAAGUAUGGUAAAUACAAAAGAUAAGUCUAAGAAAAAGAAAUCCCAAACAUUCUGGCUCAAUUAUAAAAUAUUUCAGACAAAAGCAGAAGUCAAAUAUAUUUCUUCUUGAGUGUCUCCCACAGAACACAGGUAAAUAGAUGACACUCUUGAAAUACCGCUUGAAUGUGUUUAUGAAUUAUCUAGAUAACUGAUUGUUUUCAUAUUUAUGCUGCUUACGUGAAAUGUAGGUUAUUAAAGUGUUCUGUGUGUGUAUCUAAACAAUAUCACAUGUUCGUGUCUCCUCACUAU